GAGAAGAACUGUCCCUUUCCUUCACCCCUGCUCCACACAAGCAAAGUGCAGCGAUCCCCUCCAGCUCAGCUUCGCGAUCGCAGCGCAAGCUUCACCUCCCCGCAGCGCAAACCCGGGUUCCUCCGUCAGCCACCGAGCACCACCAGCAGCUCCCCCAGCCAAGGCCAAGCCACCUUUCCAGCACGGGUGGUUCAAACCUCGGGUGCCGCUGCUCGGAUCGUUUUCUCCUUCCCGGGGAGCCGCAGGGAUCCCCCGCCCGGAGCCCUGCCCGGAGGCAGCGCCACACUGGGCCUGCCUCCCCGCGCGGGACGGUGUUACUGGAGCAACAUCCCCGCGGCAGGGAAGGAAGGAGGAAGCCAGGCUGUAAAGAAAUAAAACCACUGCAGAGCCGACUGCGAGAGGAGAGAGAGAGGACGAGACAGGCCGGCUGGGAAGGACAGCUUUGCUGAGCCCGGGAGAAAAUGGUUUGAGUGAUUAUCAACGCCUGCCGCUAUGUGGCCAGGAAGAUGGGGACCCUGUGCAGCCGGGAGCACCAGGAGCCACCACCCUGCCUGGCACAGGCAGCCCCCCGCAGCCGCCACCAAAAUGUAAAGGCAGAGGUACCAGCAGCUCCCCAAGCCAGGAACUCGCUUCCCAGGAACAGCAACCCCAUCCAAGACCAGCCCUGCAGGUCCUGAGGGUAAAAACCCUUGUGGUCCUCCUCUGAAGGCCACAAGUUUUCUCCCCACCAGUUUCCUCAGGCAACGCGUUUUCUGGGAAUCCUGCAGCCCAGGGAUCAGAAAAUAUCAGCAAAUCCCUGCUGUAUCUGUUCUCAACACAGAAGCACAACGAUAGAAGAUGUCCUGAUUGGUCUCUUGUUACUUGAAUUUUCUAGCUGGCAGAAAAAAAAAAAAAAAAAAAAAAAAAGCUUACCAACGAGUAUCAGAUGCUCCUGGCACUUUUGGGCCAUGGAGUGCAAGAGGAAGAGAAUGAGCCAUUGUAUCCUAGCAGCAAAUACAAUUUUUACAAUGUGAAACCAAAUUGUGAUCCCAAUGAUUUUGGUACACAGACAAUUUUCAUAAAGGUAAAUGUAUCCAUUCAGACAGUUUCCAUGAGUAAAAUCAGCUCCCGAGCUGGAGUAAGGAGUCUUAGAGCUUAGGUCUGUGGAAAUCCCAUGAUGUUUUUUACAGCCCCCUUCUCCACACCCAGUAAGCUGGUGAAGCUGUUUUUACUGGGCAGCCAGCACCCCGGCAUAAUGCGCAGCACCCACAGAGCAGAGGGCUGCAGGGCCCGCAGUCGGAUCCCCCCUCCAGCAAACCCCACACCGUCACGGAGAGUGAUGACAGCAGAAUCACAAACUCCACGUGUGGAGAGGAAUCUGCCCGACCCCUUCCUGUGACAGCCCAAGCUGAACCAGAAAUAAAGAUGGAUGAAAAGAG